GGUUUAAUUCGAUGAUACGCGAGGAACCUUACCCGGGCUUGAAUUGCAGAGGAAGGAUUUGGAGACAAUGACGCCCUUCGGGGUCGUCUGUGAAGGUGCUGCAUGGUUGUCGUCAGCUCGUGCCGUGAGGUGUCGGCUUAAGUGCCAUAACGAGCGCAACCCCUCUCCUUAGUUGCCAUCAGGUAAAGCUGGCACUCUGGGGACACUGCCACCGUAAGGUGUGA
rnacentral:rRNA from 1 species